CCCUUAGAUGUUCUGGGCCGCACACGCGCUACACUGAUGCAUUCAACGAGUCUAAAACCUGGUCUGAUAGGGCUGGGUAAUCUUUUGAAAGUGCAUCGUGAUUGGGAUAGCUGAUUGCAAUUCUUCAUCUUCAACGAGGAAUGCCUAGUAAACGCAAGUCAUCAGCUUGCAUUGAUUACGUCCCUGCCCUUUGUACACACCGCCCGUCGCUCCUACCGAUUGAAUGAUCCGAUGAAUACCAUGGAUUGAGAGUACGAAUGGGUUCGCUCAUUUCUGCUGCUCGAGAAGUGGAGUAAAUCUUAUCAUUUAGAGGAAGGAGAAGUCGUAACA
rnacentral:rRNA from 1 species